AACGCUGGCGGCGUGCUUAACACAUGCAAGUCAACGGGCAAUUGAAAGCUUGCUUUGAGAGCCUAGUGGCAAACGGGUGAGUAACGCGUAGGAAACCUGCCUCUAAGACUGGGGACAACAGCCCGAAAGGGCUGCUAAUACCGAAUGUUGCCGGAAGUGCGCACUGCACUACCGGCCAAAGAUGGCCUCUGCAAAUGCUAUCGCUUAGAGAUGGUCCUGCGUCUGAUUAGCUGGUUGGCGGGGUAACGGCCACCAAGGCGACGAGUCAGUAGCCGGUCUGAGAGGAUGAACGGCCACAUUGGGACUGAGACACGGCCCAGACUCCUACGGGAGGCAGCAGUGGGGAAUCUUCCGCAAUGGGCGCAAGCCUGACGGAGCAACGCCGCGUGAAGUGAAGAAGGUCUUCGGAUCGUAAAGCUCUGUCGAAGGGGACGAACGUAGCCUUUACCAACAACGGAGGCUAAUGACGGUACCUUUCAAGAAAGCCACGGCUAACUACGUGCCAGCAGCUGC
rnacentral:rRNA from 1 species